GAUGAACGCUGGCGACGUGGAUAAGGCAUGCAAGUCAAACGAGCCAUUCUGCUUGCAGGAUGGCUAGUGGCGAACGGGUUAGUAACACGUAGAUUAUCUACCCCUAAGACUCGCAUAACCCUUCGAAAGAAGGGCUAAUUCGAGAGGUCCCUCCUUUUUGGCGGGUAAAGGUUUCGAGCAAUCGAUUCGCUUAGGGAAGAGUCUGCGGCCUAUCAGCUUGUUGGUAGGGUAAAGGCCUACCAAGGCGAUGACGGGUAGGGGACGUGAGAGCGUGACCCCCAACACAGGGACUGAGACACGGCCCUGACACCUACGGGUGGCUGCAGUCGAGAAUCUUGGGCAAUGGGCGAAAGCCUGACCCAGCGACGUCGCGUGCUUGAAUAAGCCCUUCGGGGUGUAAAGAGCUUUCCUUGGGGAGGAACCUUUCGGGGUGACAGUACCCAAGGAAUAAGGAGCCGCUAAUCACGUGCCAGAAGCGUCGGUAAUACGUGAGCUCCGAGCGUUAUCCGGAUUUACUGGGCGUAAAGAGUCUUAAGGCGGUUUGGAAAGUCUUUGGUUAAAUUCUUGGGGCUCAACCUCAAGAUUGCCAAAGAUACUUCCAGACUAGAGGGCGUUAGAGGCCAGCGGAACGCAUGGUGUAGGGGUGAAAUCCGUUGAUAUCAUGCGGAACACCAAAAGCGAAGGCAGCUGGCUGGGGCGGCCCUGACGCUGAUUGACGAAAGCCAGGGGAGAAAAAAGGAUUAGAUACCCUUGUAUUCCUGGCUGUAAAUGAUGGACGCUAGCUAGUGGAAGUGUCGACCCUUUCACUGGCGAAGCUUACGCGUUAAGCGUCCCGCCUGGGAAGACGACGGCAACGUU
rnacentral:rRNA from 1 species